UUUAACGAUCAUAAAUUUAAAGGCAACUAUCCAAUGAUUGGCCUUCCGUACGGUUCAGUAUCCGCCAGUUGGUCUUUCCAUCUUUUUUGGACUAAUCAAAUAGGUCUUUGUGGAGUACAAGUGGAACUCGGUUACAUGGUAUCAGAACAUUGGGUAGACACCGACUUCAGGAGUUUCCUGUAUCCAAGACCAGAUUUUCAUAUUAACGGCAUGUAUCCAUGGGACUGGACGUUGUCUCCUACGACGAAGCAACAUACGAAAUCCGAAAAAUUGCAAAUUGCUUGGCAGAAACCACGACCACAAUAGUUUUGAAUCAUGGGAUAUUCCACCUCAACCAAUAGAAUAGCGGAGCGCCUAAAAGGUACUCCACACCUGCAUCAAAAUAGGACGCCUCAAAGCAAGAAGAGAUGUACGAGGCCCGUCUACGAGGAGAAAUACCAGAGAAUGCUUGCCAAAGUUACACCAUAACACAACACAAGGAAAGCGUGAGGCAGUCCAAAGAAAACGGAAGGCCUAUUACAACAGGCCCCUAGUACCAUUCAGGAGUCCCGCGUGACACCCUGACCCAAAAGUGAAGAACGUCAGCUACGGGCAAAAAGGGACUACGUUUUGAACGAAUUGGAAAAAAAACUAUCCUCUUCUUGAAGACCCCCACGACCGUCGUAUUUUCAAAACUCUAGCUACACUUGAUGAUUUCAUGCAAGUCGCUGCCAACUAUUUGGCACCAGAAGAGCUGGCAGAAGCGAGAAAACCUAAGUUUUACGGUGAUUUCCGCUAAAAAACUGGAGCUGAAGCCACUACUUCGACAGCAGCUCCAAGUCCAGGUUCAACAUCAGGAAGAAAAGUGGUUUUCUCGGAGCCAGCUCCUUUAACAGCGUCUCCCGUGGCUGCCGACUCAAGUUCUGAAGAAGAAGAAGUGCUGCAGGUAUUGACAAGUACUGAAUCUGACGACGAAAUAACGGGAGUGGCAACCGCGUUGGCCAGAUCAUCGUUACGUGUCAGCCAGUCCAAGCUAGUUGUAAGAACCCCAAGGAAUCCCGACGGAAUCGGUCACAGCGCCUCCAGUCCCACCGCGAAAGGCGGUAACUUUUCUUCGUAUCCGUCAAA